GGCCAGGUGGGGAGGAGCGCGCCUGGCCGGGCUGCGGGAGGACCAGCGGGGGCAAGCGCUGGGUGCAGGUCCGGCCCCCUACAGGGAGAAGCGGGGGCCGCAGAGCAGCGGAGAGUGGGUCGGUCCGUGCCUAGCCUAGGUCGGCGGCUCCGGACUAGCCGCCCUGCGCCCGCUCUCAGGAUCCCUCUCAGCUCUCCAGCUUGCUAAGUCCCCAGGAGAGAGCCAAGCAACGCUUUUGCAGGUGGAGGAUGGCUGCGGGACCUCCCGCGCCCUCUCUGGGAGGGAGACGCGGCUCAGACCUGUUCCUGGCGAAGAGGCGGCUCAGCCCCUGGCUUUUUCAGGCGUGUGCACAGGAGCUGAGGCCCCAGGACCUGCCACUUGUGUCCUUCUAAGACCUCGCGGGGGCGUUCCCUGCGUUCUACAGGAGGGCACACAGCACGCCCAGAUCCAUGCAGCACAAGGCCUGGACACCUAGCUUCAGCCACCCUCCCGCAUCUGGAACUCGGCCCGGGUCUCUGGAGUCCACUGGCCCCUUGCUCACGGAUCCCCCCAGACAUCCUCACCCGCUGUGGUGCAGUCCAGCCUUGCUUCCUGGGCUUCCAGCCUCUGGUCCUUGCCCUUCAGCAUUUCCAAAUCUGCCCUCUCCACUCAGCUGAUUCCAGCUGGAAUCAGUUGGCCCUCUCUCAUUUAUCCCACUUCUUUCCUCUGCUUGAGUUUGACUCCAAUAGCCCCCAAAACAGGAUUUGCACCAAAGCUGCUACACUGAAUUUAGAUCUCCACACGCCCCUGUUUUGUUUUAUUUUGUUUUGUUUUGUUUUAAUUGCAUUAACUAAGUAUACACCUUGCAGUCAGCUGGGCAGUUUGCAGGGAAAUGAUGUCUCCACCACCCUCCCCUCCACUGGGUUUCAGUCAGGGGCUUCUCCGGGCAUUUUCAAAGCACCAAAAAGUUGGGCCACCAAUAAAAUGACAUAGUGGGUUCUCUUUAACCGAAAAAGCAUGGUGGGGAGGUGGUUACUGAACUCCUUUGCAAGUUUUCUCAAAAUGACAGGGAGUUUGGCUCACUGUGCCUUCUCUUGGAAGAAUGUCACCUCCUGUCUUCUGAAAGACUAGCAUAGAAUGACCCUGUUCCAGCAAAAAAUGAACCAGGCCGACAUUGACCCAGCAUAUCCAGGAGUAUGCCAGCCCUCGGAGACUCACUGAAUCGCGGGCUGUAUUAUGUCCCAAACCCACCUGGACAAGGUGUGAGAUUGUUUAGUCUAAAUGCAUCAGAGCCAUCGGAACGAGGUUCCCAAAAUACGGCAGUGUGGCAUGUGGGACCCACCACCACUGUGUGAGCCUCUAAAACACAAGCAUUGGUGUGUGAGAACUAAUGAUGGCUGACAUCUGAUGCCUACAAUAUACCCACUAAGCUUGUCUUUUCUAAAGUCACCUCCUCACAGAUGCUCAAAGCAUGCCUAGCAUCUCGCAGACAAUCUGGGAAUAGUUGCUAAACCACUGGAGUGACUGAUCUCCUGUAACUCUAUCUCUAGGUGAUACUAGGAGGCCCACACAACAGAGGGAGGGACUAAGGCCCAAAGCGAUUAAACCAGAUGCCCACAGUAGAGCACCAAGGGACGCUACACAGUUGGCAUUUGACCCAAGAAAUGUGACUCCUGGGUCUGUGUUGUAACCACUGCAGGUAGUGCCUGCCUAAAAUAGGCCUCCAGACUCCCCGUCCAUCUGAUGUUACAUGAUGUAUUUGGUUUUUGCCUAUCUCCGCACAUUGAACGGUAAACUCCAGGGCAGAAAGGGGCCUUGACUCAUGCAGCAUCUCCCAGCACCUACAGCAGCAAGAAGUAUGAGAAACACCCAAAAACUAUGUACAGGCUGUUUUGAUGAACUUACUAAACUCUUACGCAAGACCUUUGGUGUGACACCAAGGGAGGAAAGAAAUGCAUACAACACGGACAGACAAUGGAGUUUCUGCUGUCAGGACCACACAGAGGGAUUGGGAUAUUUCUCGGCACUAAAUCAGAAUUGGAAAGGACCCUUCCAGCAGGCCUGCCGAGGUCCAAGAGGCUGAGGCUCAGAGAGGUUAAGGUCUUUGUCCCAAGGUCACAUGGUCAGCAAAUGGGAAAGCCAGGGCUGGGUGCAGAAAUCCAGACUCCUAACCUCUGCUUUCCUGCCUGCCCACCCCCACUGCAUCCCACCAAGGCACCUCCCAGCAAGCAUCAGGGCUGGGAGCCUAGGACAAGGGCCUGGUAGGAGGAUAGGUCACAGACACCUUCCUGCAAGAGUUGGGGUUGUUCAGACACAUUUAAAUUUGAUUUUAAACAAGAGAGACAGAACAAAACAAACAGAAAAAAACACCUUCGUGAAAAGAGACAAAAUCUAGACAGAAAAGUCCAUUUUAGAAUCUAUCUCCAGUCUCUGUAAAAUAUUGCCUGUCACCAGAAUAUUUGAGUCCAGUCCUCAGGGGAGAUUCACUCUGGCUGCUAUUCCAGGCUUUACUUAACAGAGACUGCCCCCUGUUUGUCACAAGGAGAGUGCAGGGAGCCUGCUUGGGAAAGAAGCCAACCUGAUAGACCAACCCUUUGUGGCUUAUUUGCCAGAUCCCAAACUUUAAACCUGCUAUCCCUGUGAACUUCAACCAAACCAAAUUCCCUUGCUGUUCCCGCCUGGAACAUUGCCCACACCCGUUUCCCAAGCCUUUGAAAAAUAGGUACAAGAAGGGGGGAAUCAGGUUCAUUUUCCUCUCUAAAGGAAGAAAGCCACUCUCCUCUGGGUAUGUCAACUCAGUAAAUAGAGUCACUGCCUCCUAAUAGAAGUGUGAUUAUUGACAACAUUUAGAACAUGUGGUUGAGAAACCAUUUCUGUAAGGGUUCCUGGUGGGGAGGGGUGCGGGGUGUGUGUGUGUGUGUGUGUGUAGGGAUGGUGGUGGCUAUUCACUUCCUAAUUGAAACACUUGUCAAGUUCAUAGAAGAUGAAAAUUAUCAUCAAAGACCACCCCCACCACUACCCAAAUGAAUUCCUCCAAAUGUGUUGAAAUUAACAUGCAGCUCUGCAGGAAAGUGCUUUCUAUGAAAGAGAUGAUGACAUUAUUAUUUACAACACAGGCACUUUUAGUAUCUAAGGAAGAAUCUCGUUGGCUCUAGGCUUAAUUAUGUCAGUCUGCAGCACAAUUUGCAAGGAACCUGCAACCAUACUCCCCAAUAAUUAAGGGGAAGGAGCAAUGUUACAAAGGAGGUUUGCUCACCAGGACUCGGAGCCCACGUCAGUCUAUAUGCAACUCCACAAAUUAGACUUUGUGUUGUGGCCCUCACCGGAAGGCAUUGAUUAUUAAUAGUCUUCAUAGGGUGACUCUUAGGGUUUCAAAAAGGUUUCAUAGCAACUGUUAGCCUUGCGAAAAAAGAAAAGAGAUGACACACAAGCUGUUGGUUGGAAACCUUAAGAACUGCCUGGGGGCUGGGGGAGAUCAAAACUGGACCCCCAAAUACAGAGGGCAAGGAGAGACCAAAGGAGGAGGCAGAUGUCUCCAGAUGGGUGGAUGGUGGGGGUAAUAAGCAAGGGAACUUACAAGACCCGCCCUGGACCCUGCAAGGCAAGUGGAUCUCUCCACCUGCCUGCCAGAAACUUACAAGUUUAUAUUACACACAACCCGCAAUAGGGGUCAAUAGUAUAUCGUCCAGAUGGUCUCAGCAGCACUUUGCUCUCUCAAGGCUGCAUCCUUGAAGCAGACUCCUCGUGCCAGAACAGUGUUUGGAAUAUACAUUGCAAGGACAGGGGAGGAGGUGAUGAGCCUCCGAUUGCCCACCGCCAGCUCAGGGGUCAACUGAAGGUCAUGUCCCCUCGAUGACUUUCUCCAACAGAAGCCAAAAUGUGGCCAGCACCUUGCCAUGCUGGGGCAACACGCUGGUUUGAUAUAUUUUAUUCUCUUGUUCUGAAAAGAGAAAGGAAACUACAAGGGAAGUGAAGUGGGUCUAAAUUUUGGUUCCCCCAGACUACAAGUAGUAGGUGAGAUGAUUUUUUGUGGUACCCAAACAUGUUUUGUAAAUAAUUUUAUAUUUAUUGUUAAUGUGUGUCAGAAAAAAAUUAAUGACACAUCAAACACUUGGCUUCAGGGGAAAAACAUUUAAGGUGCACAUGAAUUUAAAGUCCAUUUAAGAAGAAUAAUAAAUACAUUAUAGUAUUUAUUAAUAAAGUAAACAUGCAGAAAA